rnacentral:lncRNA from 1 species
AUGCGGAAGUCCUGCCUUAGAGGACUCCAUCUCCCAGAAGGCCACGCGGGCAGCCUAGCGCGCUGGCCAAAGCCAAGCAGCGGCGAUAAGGGCCCCGAGCCCCGCAGGUCCCCCGGCCCACCCCCAGGGGACACCACCCUGACCCCGCCAGGCUCCCUCUUAUCCCGCGGCACAGGCGCCGCUCGGCCCAGCCCGGCUCCAGCCCUGAGCUGUCCCCGCGGCUGCGUGGACAGUUGCCGAGGUCGGGGUCGCACGCUCCGACGCGCCGCCGCCCACACCCCCUGCUCCCGCCGGCGUGGAGUCGGGGCUGUCCGCGGCGCAGGCUGGAGCGGACACGGUGCGCGGACCAGAAGGAACGCACGGCCCGGCUCAGAAACGCGGCCACCACGGAGGGGACCAGAGGACAUCGCUGUGCGGGGGACGCAGAAAACUAACCCGAGUCCUCACGCUGAGAUUCCAAAGGCGAAAUACACAAUUCUAGAAAACGCAGAAUCUAUGUGGUCCUGGACCCGUGAGGACAGAACCAGGCACAGAAUGGGAGCAGAGCUGAGGAGAACGUGUCGGGACAGGCAUGGAUGGGUGAGGACGAGAACGUGUCAGGGCAGGCACGCAGUCCAGUGGUCGGGAUGCUCACCCUCCUCCUCCCGGGAUGCCUCCGGUCAUCGGGCUCUCCCACGUGGGAGAAUUGGCCUGCGCUCCUUCCCGGAUUCAGCCCCGUCUGCCGAGUGA